CCUACGGGGGGCUGCAGUGAGGAAUAUUGGUCAAUGGACGAGAGUCUGAACCAGCCAAGUAGCGUGAAGGAUGACUGCCCUAUGGGUUGUAAACUUCUUUUAUAUGGGAAUAAAAUGUUCCACGUGUGGGAUUUUGUAUGUACCAUAUGAAUAAGGAUCGGCUAACUCCGUGCCAGCAGCCGCGGUAAUACGGAGGAUCCGAGCGUUAUCCGGAUUUAUUGGGUUUAAAGGGAGCGUAGGUGGAUUGUUAAGUCAGUUGUGAAAGUUUGCGGCUCAACCGUAAAAUUGCAGUUGAAACUGGCAGUCUUGAGUACAGUAGAGGUGGGCGGAAUUCGUGGUGUAGCGGUGAAAUGCUGAGAUAUCACGAAGAACUCCGAUUGCGAAGGCAGUUCACUGGACUGCAACUGACACUGAGGCUCGAAAGUGUGGGUAUCAAACAGGAUUAGAUACCCGAGUAGUC
rnacentral:rRNA from 1 species